rnacentral:rRNA from 1 species
UAGGGAAUCUUCGGCAAUGGACGAAAGUCUGACCGAGCAACGCCGCGUGAGUGAAGAAGGUUUUCGGAUCGUAAAACUCUGUUGUCAGAGAAGAACAAGGGUGAGAGUAGCUGUUCACCCCUUGACGGUAUCUAACCAGAAAGCCACGGCUAACUACGUGACAG